UGGGGAAUUUUGGACAAUGGGCGAAAGCCUGAUCCAGCAAUGCCGCGUGUGUGAAGAAGGCCUUCGGGUUGUAAAGCACUUUUGUCCGGAAAGAAAUCCUUGGCUCUAAUACAGUCGGGGGUUGACGGUACCGGAAGAAUAAGCACCGGCUAACUACGUGCCAGCAGCCGCGGUAAUACGUAGGGUGCAAGCGUUAAUCGGAAUUACUGGGCGUAAAGCGUGCGCAGGCGGUUUGCUAAGACCGAUGUGAAAUCCCCGGGCUCAACCUGGGAACUGCAUUGGUGACUGGCAGGCUAGAGUAUGGCAGAGGGGGGUAGAAUUCCACGUGUAGCAGUGAAAUGCGUAGAGAUGUGGAGGAAUACCGAUGGCGAAGGCAGCCCCCUGGGCCAAUACUGGCGCUCAUGCACGAAAGCGUGGGGAGCAAACAGGAUUAGAUACCCUGGUAGUCCACGCCCUAAAACGAUGUCAACUAGUUGUUGGGGAUUCAUUUCCUUAGUAACGUAGCUAACGCGUGAAGUUGACCGCCUGGGGAGUACGGUCGCAAGAUU
rnacentral:rRNA from 1 species